UGGGGAAUAUUGCACAAUGGGCGCAAGCCUGAUGCAGCCAUGCCGCGUGUAUGAAGAAGGCCUUCGGGUUGUAAAGUACUUUCAGCGGGGAGGAAGGGAGUACAGUUAAUACCUUUGCUCCUUGACGUUACCCGCAGAAGAAGCACCGGCUAACUCCGUGCCAGCAGCCGCGGUAAUACGGAGGGUGCAAGCGUUAAUCGGAAUUACUGGGCGUAAAGCGCACGCAGGCGGUUUGUUAAGUCAGAUGUGAAAUCCCCGGGCUCAACCUGGGAACUGCAUCUGAUACUUGCAAGCUUGAGUCUCGUAGAGGGGGGUAGAAUUCCAGGUGUAGCGGUGAAAUGCGUAGAGAUCUGGAGGAAUACCGGUGGCGAAGGCGGCCCCCUGGACAAAGACUGACGCUCAGGUGCGAAAGCGUGGGGAGCAAACAGG
rnacentral:rRNA from 1 species